rnacentral:rRNA from 1 species
AAUCUACCUAGUAGUGGGGGACAACUCGGGGAAACUCGAGCUAAUACCGCAUACGCCCUACGGGGGAAAGCGGGGGACCUUCGGGCCUCGUGCUAUUAGAUGAGCCUGCGUUGGAUUAGCUAGUUGGUGGGGUAAUGGCCUACCAAGGCGACGAUCCAUAGCUGGUCUGAGAGGAUGAUCAGCCACACCGGGACUGAGACACGGCCCGGACUCCUACGGGAGGCAGCAGUGGGGAAUAUUGCGCAAUGGGCGAAAGCCUGACGCAGCCAUGCCGCGUGUGUGAAGAAGGCCUUCGGGUUGUAAAGCACUUUCAAUUGGGAGGAAAGGUUCACGGCUAAUACCCGUGAGCUGUGACGUUACCUUUAGAAGAAGCACCGGCUAACUCCGUGCCAGCAGCCGCGGUAAUACGGAGGGUGCGAGCGU